rnacentral:rRNA from 1 species
UUGGAGGGCAAGUCUGGUGCCAGCAGCCGCGGUAAUUCCAGCUCCAAUAGCGUAUAUUAAAGUUGUUGCAGUUAAAAAGCUCGUAGUUGAAUUUCGGGAUCAAUAUAUUGGUCAUGCUUAGGUAUGUACUGGUAUUAUUGAUUUCUCCCUUCUGAAGAACCAUAAUGUCAUUAAUUUGAUGUCAUGGGGAAUCAGGACUGUUACUUUGAAAAAAUUAGAGUGUUUAAAGCAGGCUUUCGCUUGAAUACAUUAGCAUGGAAUAAUGAAAUAGGACGUUUGAUUCUAUUUUGUUGGUUUCUAGGAUCGACGUAAUGAUUAAUAGGGAUAGUUGGGGGCAUUAGUAUUCAAUUGUCAGAGGUGAAAUUCUUGGAUUUAUUGAAGACUAACUACUGCGAAAGCAUUUGCCAAGGAUGUUUUCAUUAAUCAAGAACGAAAGUUAGGGGAUCGAAGACGAUCAGAUACCGUCGUAGUCUUAACCAUAAACUAUGCCGACUAGGGAUCGGAUGAUGUUAAUUUUUUAAUGACUCAUUCGGCGCCUUACGGGAAACCAAAGUGUUUGGGUUC